AGAGUUUGAUCAUGGCUCAGAUUGAACGCUGGCGGAAUGCUUUACACAUGCAAGUCGAGCGGCAGCGCGGGGCAACCUGGCGGCGAGCGGCGAACGGGUGAGUAAUGCAUCGGAACAUGUCCAUUCGUGGGGGAUAGCCCGGCGAAAGCCGGAUUAAUACCGCAUACGCCCUGAGGGGGAAAGUGGGGGACCGCAAGGCCUCACGCGAAUGGGUUGGCCGAUGUCCGAUUAGCUAGUUGGUGGGGUAAAGGCUUACCAAGGCGAUGACCGGUAGCUGGUCUGAGAGGAUGAUCAGCCACACUGGGACUGAGACACGGCCCAGACUCCUACGGGAGGCAGCAGUGGGGAAUUUUGGACAAUGGGGGCAACCCUGAUCCAGCCAUUCCGCGUGAGUGAAGAAGGCCUUCGGGUUGUAAAGCUCUUUUGUCCGGAACGAAACGGUUAGCGUGAAUAUCGCUGACUACUGACGGUACCGGAAGAAUAAGCACCGGCUAACUACGUGCCAGCAGCCGCGGUAAUAC
rnacentral:rRNA from 1 species